UACGUAGGUGGCAAGCGUUAUCCGGAAUUAUUGGGCGUAAAGCGCGCGCAGGCGGUUUCUUAAGUCUGAUGUGAAAGCCCACGGAUCAACCGUGGGGGGUCAUUGGAAACUGGGGAACUUGAGUGCAGAAGAGAAGAGCGGAAUUCCACGUGUAGCGGUGAAAUGCGUAGAGAUGUGGAGGAACACCAGUGGCGAAGGCGGCUUUUUGGUCUGUAACUGACGCUGAGGCGCGAAAGCGUGGGGAGCAAACAGG
rnacentral:rRNA from 1 species